AUUGAACGCUGGCGGCAGGCUUAACACAUGCAAGUCGAACGAGUGGCGGACGGGUGAGUAAUGCUUGGGAAUCUAGCUUAUGGAGGGGGCUAACUACGGGAAACUGUAGCUAAUACCGCGUACCAUAGGAUGAGCCCAAGUGGGAUUAGCUCGUUGGUGAGGUAACGGCUCACCAAGCCGACGAUCUCUAGCUGGUCUGAGAGGACGACCAGCCACACUGGGACUGAGACACGACCCAGACUCCGACGGUGGGAAGCAGUGGGGAAUAUUGCGCAAGGGGGGCAGCCUGACGCAGACAUGCCGCGUGAAUGAAGAAGGCCUUCGGGUUGUAAAGUUCUUUCGGUAGCGAGGCGUUAACUACAGAAGAAGCACCGGCUAACUCCGUGCCAGCAGCCGCGGUAAUUC
rnacentral:rRNA from 1 species